rnacentral:rRNA from 1 species
GAUGAACGCUAGCGGCAGGCUUAAUACAUGCAAGUCGAGGGGCAGCACGGUUAGCAAUAACUGGUGGCGACCGGCGCACGGGUGCGUAACACGUAUACAAUCUACCUUAAACAGGGGGAUAGCCUUUCGAAAGAGAGAUUAAUACCCGUAAUAAAUUGAACGGCAUCGUUUGAUUUUGAAAGCUCCGGCGGUUUGAGAUGAGUAUGCGUCUGAUUAGCUAGUUGGUGAGGUAACGGCUCACCAAGGCGACGAUCAGUAGGGGAUCUGAGAGGACUAACCCCCCACACUGGUACUGAGACACGGACCAGACUCCUACGGGAGGCAGCAGUAAGGAAUAUUGGUCAAUGGAGGCAACUCUGAACCAGCCAUGCCGCGUGCAGGAUGACGGCCCUAUGGGUUGUAAACUGCUUUUAUACAAGAGAAAACCCUGGUACGUGUACCAGGUUGAUAGUAUUGUAAGAAUAAGCAUCGGCUAACUUCGUGCCAGCAGCCGCGGUAAU